rnacentral:tRNA from 1 species
GGAGGGGUGGCCGAGCGGCCUAUGGCGGCGGUCUUGAAAACCGCUAUCCGCCUCCGGCGGAUCGUGGGUUCAAAUCCCACCCCCUCCGCCA